AUUCCCCUAGUAAUGGCGAAUGAAGAGGGAAAAGCCCAAAUUUGUAAUCUGGCUCUUUCAGAGUCCGAGUUGUAAUUUUAAGAACUGUUUUCAGUGCUGGACCAUGUUCAAGUCUGUUGAAAAGCAGCAUCAUAGAAGGUGAUAAUCCUGUUCAUGAUAUGGACUACCAGUGCAAUAUGAUACAGUCUCUAAGAGUCGAGUUGUUUGGGAAUGCAGCUCAAAGUGGGUGGUAAAUUCCAUCUAAGGCUAAAUAUUGAUGAGAGACCGAUAGCAAACAAGUACCGUGAGGGAAAGAUGAAAAGAACUUUGGAAAGAGAGUUAACAGUACGUGAAAUUGUUAAAAGGGAAACAAUUGAAGUUAGACUUGUUAUUAUUAGUUCAAACCUUUUUAAGGGAGUAUUCUAAUGAUUAACAGACCAAUGUCAAUUUUUGAGUGUUGGAUAAGGGUUUAAGGAAAUGUAGCAGUUUCUGACUGUGUUAUAGUCCAUGAGCUUUGAUACAAUGCUUAAGAUUGAGGAAUGCAGUAAGCCUUAUGGUGGAACAAAUUGUUCUUCUUACUGAGGAUGU
rnacentral:rRNA from 1 species